rnacentral:lncRNA from 1 species
GUGUGCUUGUGUGGGUCAGAGCACAACUUCAGGUGGUCAAUUCUUUCUUUCCACUGUGUAGGUCUGAGGAUGGAACUCGGGUCUUUAGGCUUUGUGACAAGUAACUUUACCUGCAAAGUCAUCUAGACAACAAACAGAUGAAAGAAAAAAAAAAAAGAAAGAAGGAAAGACUGGACACACUUGAAGCUGAGAUUUCAUAAAACAACAGUAUUCUAAGAGACUACACUCUUCAUUCUUCCCUAGAAAUCUAGACGAUGCUUCUGCUAGCAAACGUCAUAUAUAAAGUCAAAACGUCAAAUAAAGUGUUGGGACCUAGGACCUUUGGGUUUUCCAGCCUGAUUUCCCUCUCUGGCAGCUGCCUGGUUUCUUUGGUUCGGCUGAAGCUGAAUGGAGAGUGCCACUCGCUUGGCCCGCACACACUGCAACUUUUAAUUGGGUAGUAAACAGAGGAAAACACACUUCCUGUUUCCAGUAAAAAGCAGGCAUAUGAGAAGGAAGGCCUGAAGCCCAGACUGUGCCUAUGAUCUCACAGGCUUCUUAUGAUCAACCUCCAACAGCAUCCCUCAGGAGAAUGGUCUCAGGCACAGCCCUUUGGGAAGCAGGCCGGGCGAAGUCAGCACGUAGAGAAAUACAAACACCAAAAUCAAUCUGCUUAAACCGUGAUAACCACAAUCAGUUCUUCACACAACUGAUGAGACUUGAAUGUGUGCCUUUUAUCAACUUGAUUCUAUAUCACACAUCUCAGUCGAUGUGUAUUGAAGCCUUGCUUACAUAGCAGGGCUGGAUUCAGUACUAAGGGUGUGGAGAAGAGAAAACCUGGUUCCUGAGCCCAGCUACCUCAUCUGGGCUAACAAACUAAAGCUGAAUUUCAAAAGUAAUUACUAAGGAGGUCUUUGUUUCUUUCGGUUUUCUUUCCUUUUUUUCUUGAGGAAUGAAAUUAAAAGCAUGAUUUAUA